rnacentral:lncRNA from 1 species
UACCAAACCUUCAUCUUUCAGAGGGACAAAGAUCUUAAACUUUUGUUUGUAAUAUAUUUCAGUCAACAGGCUGAUCUCUUUUGUUCUCUUCGGCGAUUUUCUAUUCGCAUAGGCGAUUCUCUUGUUCGCGUUGGCGAUUUUGAAGUAUAAAGUUCAACAAGUUGAGAACUUGAUUCUCACUCUCAUCUUUCUCUGACAUGUUGAACAUAAAUAAAACUAUGGUUGAGUUCUUCUCCUUCUGUGUUAAGUGUUAAACCGUUCGAUUGGAAAGUUAAAUUUCCUCUUUGUUAGAUAAGCUUGGAUCUUGAUUCAGAGGUGGUAUCAAGCUUCACUCGUGUCAGCUGUAGUCUCCACGAAGGUCAAGAAACAAAGUUUGGAUCAAGCUUCGGAGAUUCAGGACAUAUUCUAGAUGAGUUGGAGCUGCCAUAAGGGUUAGCGUUCCGACAAGUUUCUAUCCUUUUCUUCUAAAGCUCUUCCCUGUGAUAAAAUCUAACAAUUGGAGAAGAAGAUCUUGCGAUUGAAGGUGAAAGAACAUACAAGCAGAUUCAAGCAUGUUCGAUACGGAGAUUGUAAGUUUCCGGCGAAAGGUUCCGGCACCGUCUUCUUCUUUCUCGAUGGAGAAAACACAGCCACGUAUUAACCACGUAUUGACCACGUGUCAGCCAUAUUUUCAUCUUUAUCUAUUUGGUUUGUAUGGGCUUUGUUCUGGGCAGAAUAUUAUAGUUGAAUCUGUUUGUAAAUUGUCCUUUGGGCUUCGUUUAAUAAAACGAAAAGUUGAC